rnacentral:rRNA from 1 species
CCUACGGGCGGCAGCAGUGGGGAAUAUUGGACAAUGGGGGCAACCCUGAUCCAGCCAUGCCGCGUGUGUGAAGAAGGCCCUCGGGUUGUAAAGCACUUUCAGUGAGGAAGAACGCCUGGUGGUUAAUACCCAUCAGGAAAGACAUCACUCACAGAAGAAGCACCGGCUAACUCCGUGCCAGCAGCCGCGGUAAUACGGAGGGUGCGAGCGUUAAUCGGAAUUACUGGGCGUAAAGCGCGCGUAGGUGGCUUGAUAAGCCGGUUGUGAAAGCCCCGGGCUCAACCUGGGAACGGCAUCCGGAACUGUCGAGCUAGAGUGCAGGAGAGGAAGGUAGAAUUCCCGGUGUAGCGGUGAAAUGCGUAGAGAUCGGGAGGAAUACCAGUGGCGAAGGCGGCCUUCUGGACUGACACUGACACUGAGGUGCGAAAGCGUGGGUAGCAAACAGGAUUAGAUACCCCAGUAGUC